GGUUAAGCGACUAAGCGUACACGGUGGAUGCCCUGGCAGUCAGAGGCGAUGAAGGACGUGCUAAUCUGCGAUAAGCGUCGGUAAGGUGAUAUGAACCGUUAUAACCGGCGAUUUCCGAAUGGGGAAACCCAGUGUGAUUCGUCACACUAUCAUUAACUGAAUCCAUAGGUUAAUGAGGCGAACCGGGGGAACUGAAACAUCUAAGUACCCCGAGGAAAAGAAAUCAACCGAGAUUCCCCCAGUAGCGGCGAGCGAACGGGGAGCAGCCCAGAGCCUGAAUCAGUGUGUGUGUUAGUGGAAGCGUCUGGAAAGGCGCGCGAUACAGGGUGACAGCCCCGUACACAAAAAUGCACAUGCUGUGAGCUCGAUGAGUAGGGCGGGACACGUGGUAUCCUGUCUGAAUAUGGGGGGACCAUCCUCCAAGGCUAAAUACUCCUGACUGACCGAUAGUGAACCAGUACCGUGAGGGAAAGGCGAAAAGAACCCCGGCGAGGGGAGUGAAAAAGAACCUGAAACCGUGUACGUACAAGCAGUGGGAGCACGCUUAGGCGUGUGACUGCGUACCUUUUGUAUAAUGGGUCAGCGACUUAUAUUCUGUAGCAAGGUUAACCGAAUAGGGGAGCCGAAGGGAAACCGAGUCUUAACUGGGCGUUAAGUUGCAGGGUAUAGACCCGAAACCCGGUGAUCUAGCCAUGGGCAGGUUGAAGGUUGGGUAACACUAACUGGAGGACCGAACCGACUAAUGUUGAAAAAUUAGCGGAUGACUUGUGGCUGGGGGUGAAAGGCCAAUCAAACCGGGAGAUAGCUGGUUCUCCCCGAAAGCUAUUUAGGUAGCGCCUCGUGAAUUCAUCUCCGGGGGUAGAGCACUGUUUCGGCAAGGGGGUCAUCCCGACUUACCAACCCGAUGCAAACUGCGAAUACCGGAGAAUGUUAUCACGGGAGACACACGGCGGGUGCUAACGUCCGUCGUGAAGAGGGAAACAACCCAGACCGCCAGCUAAGGUCCCAAAGUCAUGGUUAAGUGGGAAACGAUGUGGGAAGGCCCAGACAGCCAGGAUGUUGGCUUAGAAGCAGCCAUCAUUUAAAGAAAGCGUAAUAGCUCACUGGUCGAGUCGGCCUGCGCGGAAGAUGUAACGGGGCUAAACCAUGCACCGAAGCUGCGGCAGCGACGCUUAUGCGUUGUUGGGUAGGGGAGCGUUCUGUAAGCCUGUGAAGGUGUACUGUGAGGUAUGCUGGAGGUAUCAGAAGUGCGAAUGCUGACAUAAGUAACGAUAAAGCGGGUGAAAAGCCCGCUCGCCGGAAGACCAAGGGUUCCUGUCCAACGUUAAUCGGGGCAGGGUGAGUCGACCCCUAAGGCGAGGCCGAAAGGCGUAGUCGAUGGGAAACAGGUUAAUAUUCCUGUACUUGGUGUUACUGCGAAGGGGGGACGGAGAAGGCUAUGUUGGCCGGGCGACGGUUGUCCCGGUUUAAGCGUGUAGGCUGGUUUUCCAGGCAAAUCCGGAAAAUCAAGGCUGAGGCGUGAUGACGAGGCACUACGGUGCUGAAGCAACAAAUGCCCUGCUUCCAGGAAAAGCCUCUAAGCAUCAGGUAACAUCAAAUCGUACCCCAAACCGACACAGGUGGUCAGGUAGAGAAUACCAAGGCGCUUGAGAGAACUCGGGUGAAGGAACUAGGCAAAAUGGUGCCGUAACUUCGGGAGAAGGCACGCUGAUAUGUAGGUGAAGUCCCUCGCGGAUGGAGCUGAAAUCAGUCGAAGAUACCAGCUGGCUGCAACUGUUUAUUAAAAACACAGCACUGUGCAAACACGAAAGUGGACGUAUACGGUGUGACGCCUGCCCGGUGCCGGAAGGUUAAUUGAUGGGGUUAGCGCAAGCGAAGCUCUUGAUCGAAGCCCCGGUAAACGGCGGCCGUAACUAUAACGGUCCUAAGGUAGCGAAAUUCCUUGUCGGGUAAGUUCCGACCUGCACGAAUGGCGUAAUGAUGGCCAGGCUGUCUCCACCCGAGACUCAGUGAAAUUGAACUCGCUGUGAAGAUGCAGUGUACCCGCGGCAAGACGGAAAGACCCCGUGAACCUUUACUAUAGCUUGACACUGAACAUUGAGCCUUGAUGUGUAGGAUAGGUGGGAGGCUUUGAAGUGUGGACGCCAGUCUGCAUGGAGCCGACCUUGAAAUACCACCCUUUAAUGUUUGAUGUUCUAACGUGGACCCGUAAUCCGGGUUGCGGACAGUGUCUGGUGGGUAGUUUGACUGGGGCGGUCUCCUCCUAAAGAGUAACGGAGGAGCACGAAGGUUGGCUAAUCCUGGUCGGACAUCAGGAGGUUAGUGCAAUGGCAUAAGCCAGCUUGACUGCGAGCGUGACGGCGCGAGCAGGUGCGAAAGCAGGUCAUAGUGAUCCGGUGGUUCUGAAUGGAAGGGCCAUCGCUCAACGGAUAAAAGGUACUCCGGGGAUAACAGGCUGAUACCGCCCAAGAGUUCAUAUCGACGGCGGUGUUUGGCACCUCGAUGUCGGCUCAUCACAUCCUGGGGCUGAAGUAGGUCCCAAGGGUAUGGCUGUUCGCCAUUUAAAGUGGUACGCGAGCUGGGUUUAGAACGUCGUGAGACAGUUCGGUCCCUAUCUGCCGUGGGCGCUGGAGAAUUGAGGGGGGCUGCUCCUAGUACGAGAGGACCGGAGUGGACGCAUCACUGGUGUUCGGGUUGUCAUGCCAAUGGCACUGCCCGGUAGCUAAAUGCGGAAGAGAUAAGUGCUGAAAGCAUCUAAGCACGAAACUUGCCCCGAGAUGAGUUCUCCCUGACUCCUUGAGAGUCCUGAAGGAACGUUGAAGACGACGACGUUGAUAGGCCGGGUGUGUAAGCGCAGCGAUGCGUUGAGCUAACCGGUACUAAUGAACCGUGAGGCUUAACCUU
rnacentral:rRNA from 1 species